UGGUCGUGUGCUCUGUAGUCUAAUGGUGCAAUUUUUACUAAUAUGUAUAUGGUUAAUUAUUGUUCUAGCAACAAUCCAACGGUACUCGAGUAGAUAAUUUAAGUGGCAGUCCCCAUAGAAACAGUGUUUGGCCAAGUGAUGUACGCCACAUCAUUCACGGCGACUAGCUGUUGGCAAAACCAACGCAGUGGACCCUAAAUUCAGAAUAGAACGUGAAUUCUACAGGAUCAAGUAUGACACGCACGCAGUUGUUAUCUGUAACUGUACGGACGUCUUUUUGAUUACGAUCUCGAAGCACGUAAUCCUCUUCAUAUACUUCGGUUACUGCUAGCAUACUUCGGCUGUUCAACCUACGACCGUUCUGGUUGCAUGUACAUGCAGAAUGACAGCGAUGUUCACUAACGGACACAAGACAAGGAAGCUAACGGCUACCGCCGCUGGCGUCUUUACAGCAGUUUCUGUCCGCUUGUCGAAUAUCAACCCAACGCUUUCCUGCAACAACACAGGAACAGUCAGACACAGAACAACUAUUGGAACGCGUACGUGCGGAUCUAUUGCCAGCGAGGCUCCCCUUCCCCCCAGAUGAUCAAGAUCCGAGCUCACACUCUCUUCGUAGAGCUUUCUACUUGCUCGACGUUUUCGCUCUGAUUUCCAGCCUUUCCCCAACCCGUUUGCCCAAAUUCGGCAUUUCAUCUCCAGCUAACUUCGUCUUUGUGCAUCAGAUCAAACAAGAAGGAACGCAAAGAGGUGAUGAAGAAAAGACCUAAGCAGACUGCGCACCGAGUGCAUCUCUGAAAGCUUAUACCCGUUUCAAGCCGUUUCAGACGAGAAAAAAUCCGCUAACGAGAAAUUUGCAGGAAGCACGGCUGACACGCCAGAAUAUUUCGACAGCAUUACUAUCCGGUCCCCUCAGCGCCUCCGCUUAGCCUGUACAGGCCUAGAUUGGCUUCUUCUGACCCGAUCCGAGCCUUGCGUUCGACUUCGACCGGGUAUAGCCCAAUGCUGUUUAAAUUAGCCGUCGAGCAAUCGUCGUCUGAUUUUCUCAUCGUAUCCUAUUUAUGCAAGCGGCACUCAGUUCCGGCCUAGCUCAGCACUUUUCAGUAUUCUGACCUGAACUGCCACGUUCUGUUAUUUAGGCUGUCAUCGCCGCAAGUCGAUGUUGCCAUCUCAUGCGCAUAUGAACUGGCCGGCAGAUCCUCACUGGCGACGAAACUCACCGAAGUGACUAAAAAACGGACAUAGCUAACUGUUCGAUGAAAUCUUUGGAAAACUGACGAAUUCAGCUAAACUCUUGUCAGUCUCCAU